rnacentral:misc_RNA from 1 species
GGGAAGCAGCAAAGGGGGGAACGCAAAGGGCGCCGGGGGCGGAAGGCAGGGCGGGGGGAGGGCACCAUGUAACAAAUAAGGUGCAUGUUGUGUGCACACGGGGAUGAGCUUUCCAAAAUUAUGUAUUAUUUUUGGUGGCGCAUAAUAAACAGCGCGAUGCUUUUUUUCAGUUCGAGUGUAGUAAAAUUUUUGCUUGGGUUGUGAAAAAACAUAAUCGCGCAAUGGGUGUGGCAAUUUCUUUUUAUCCCUGCCCCAAUGCCACUCUUUCUCACGGAAGAAUGUCUAAUCUUCAGGGCCUCAA